UACGUAGGGGGCAAGCGUUGUCCGGAUUUAUUGGGCGUAAAGAGCGUGUAGGCGGCUUGGUAGGUCUCGCGUCAAAACCUGAGGCUCAACCUCAGUUCGCGUGGGAAACCACCUAGCUAGAGUCCGGAAGAGGAGAACGGAAUUCCCAGUGUAGCGGUGAAAUGCGCAGAUAUUGGGAAGAACACCAGUGGCGAAGGCGGUUCUCUGGGACGGUACUGACGCUGAGGCGCGAAAGCGUGGGGAGCAAACAGG
rnacentral:rRNA from 1 species